rnacentral:miRNA from 15 species
UUGAUCUCCACCUGUAGUUUCCCACAGCUUUAUUGAACCGCAAUUUCCCAGAGUGAGAAGAACAGAUGCAGUUCAAGAAAGCUGUGGAAGACUGCAAAUAGGAUCAU